CUACGGGAGGCAGCAGUGGGGAAUCUUGCACAAUGCGCGAAAGCGUGAUGCAGCAACGCCGCGUGGGGGAAGAAGGCCUUCGGGUUGUAAACCCCUUUCAGUUGGGACGAAGCUUCGGCGGUGAACAGCCGUUCGGAGUGACGGUACCUUCAGAAGAAGCCCCGGCUAACUACGUGCCAGCAGCCGCGGUAAUACGUAGGGGGCAAGCGUUGUCCGGAAUUAUUGGGCGUAAAGCGCGUGUAGGCGGCUCGAUAAGUCUGCUGUGAAAGUCCAGGGCUCAACCCUGGAAUGCCGGUGGAUACUGUCGAGCUCGAGUCCGGAAGAGGCGAGUGGAAUUCCUGGUGUAGCGGUGAAAUGCGCAGAUAUCAGGAGGAACACCAAUGGCGAAGGCAGCUCGCUGGGACGGUACUGACGCUGAGACGCGAAAGCGUGGGGAGCAAACAGGAUUAGAAACCCGUGUAGUCC
rnacentral:rRNA from 1 species